AUUGAACGCUGGCGGCAUGUCUUACACAUGCAAGUCGAACGGCAGCGCGGGGCAACCUGGCGGCGAGUGGCGAACGGGUGAGUAAUAUAUCGGAACGUGCCCUGGAGUGGGGGAUAACGCAGCGAAAGUUGCGCUAAUACCGCAUACGAUCUAAGGAUGAAAGCAGGGGACCGCAAGGCCUUGUGCUCCUGGAGCGGCCGAUAUCUGAUUAGCUAGUGGUGGGGUAAAGGCCUACCAAGGCAUCGAUCAGUAGCUGGUCUGAGAGGACGACCAGCCACACUGGAACUGAGACACGGUCCAGACUCCUACGGGAGGCAGCAGUGGGGAAUUUUGGACAAUGGGCGCAAGCCUGAUCCAGCAAUGCCGCGCGAGUGAAGAAGGCCUCGG
rnacentral:rRNA from 1 species